GACGAACGCUGGCGGCGUGCUUAACACAUGCAAGUCGAACGGAAAGGCCCUGCUUGCCGGGUACUCGAGUGGCGAACGGGUGAGUAACACGUGGGUGAUCUGCCCUGCACUUCGGGAUAAGCCUGGGAAACUGGGUCUAAUACCGGAUAGGAGCCAUUUUUAGUGUGAUGGUUGGAAAGUUUUUUCGGUGUAGGAUGAGCUCGCGGCCUAUCAGCUUGUUGGUGGGGUAAUGGCCUACCAAGGCGGCGACGGGUAGCCGGCCUGAGAGGGUGGACGGCCACAUUGGGACUGAGAUACGGCCCAGACUCCUACGGGAGGCAGCAGUGGGGAAUAUUGCACAAUGGGCGCAAGCCUGAUGCAGCGACGCCGCGGGGGGGAGGACGGCCUUCGGGUUGUAAACGCCUUUCGCUAGGGACGAAGCUUUUUGUGACGGUACCUAGAGAAGAAGCACCGGCUAACUACGUG
rnacentral:rRNA from 1 species